UACGGGGGGAGCAAGCGUUGUUCGGAUUUACUGGGCGUAAAGGGCGCGUAGGCGGUCAGCACAAGUCAGUUGUGAAAUCUCCGGGCUUAACCCGGAAAGGUCAACUGAUACUGUGCGACUAGAGUGCGGAAGGGGCAACUGGAAUUCUCGGUGUAGCGGUGAAAUGCGUAGAUAUCAGGAGGAACACCUGUGGCGAAAGCGGCUCACUGGACCACAACUGACGCUGAGGCGCGAAAGCUAGGGGAGCAAACAGG
rnacentral:rRNA from 1 species